GAUGAACGCUGGCGGCGUGCCUAAUACAUGCAAGUCGAGCGAAUGGAUUGAGAGCUUGCUCUCAAGAAGUUAGCGGCGGACGGGUGAGUAACACGUGGGUAACCUGCCCAUAAGACUGGGAUAACUCCGAGAAACCGGGGCUAAUACCGGAUAACAUUUUGAACUGCAUGGUUCGAAAUUGAAAGGCGGCUUCGGCUGUCACUUAUGGAUGGAACGGCGUCGCAUUAGCUAGUUGGUGAGGUAACGGCUCACCAAGGCAACGAUGCGUAGCCGACCUGAGAGUGUGAUCGGCCACACUGGGACUGAGACACGGCCCAGACUCCUACGGGAGGCAGCAGUAGGGAAUCUUCCGCAAUGGACGAAAGUCUGACGGAGCAACGCCGCGUGAGUGAUGAAGGCUUUCGGGUCGUAAAACUCUGUUGUUAGGGAAGAACAAGUGCUAGUUGAAUAAGCUGGCACCUUGACGGUACCUAACCAGAAAGCCACGGCUAACUACGUGCCAGCAGCCGCAGUAAAAC
rnacentral:rRNA from 1 species